rnacentral:rRNA from 1 species
UACGGGGGGAGCAAGCGUUGUUCGGAUUUACUGGGCGUAAAGGGCGCGUAGGCGGCCAGCACAAGUCAGUUGUGAAAUCUCCGAGCUUAACUCGGAAAGGUCAACUGAUACUGUGCGGCUGGAGUGCGGAAGGGGCAACUGGAAUUCUUGGUGUAGCGGUGAAAUGCGUAGAUAUCAAGAGGAACACCUGUGGCGAAGGCGGGUUGCUGGGCCGACACUGACGCUGAGGCGCGAAAGCGUGGGUAGCAAACAGG